GGCAGUGUCAUAGCUCAGUGGCAGAGCUUCUGCUUAGCCUGAGGAAGAUCGCAGGUUCAAUCCUUGGCAUCGCCA